rnacentral:rRNA from 1 species
UGGGGAAUAUUGGACAAUGGGGGAAACCCUGAUCCAGCGACGCCGCGUGUGUGAAGAAGGCCUGCGGGUUGUAAAGCACUUUUAGUGGGGAUGAAAAGCCUAGAGCUAAUAUCUCUGGGUCUUGACUUAACUCACAGAAAAAGCACCGGCUAACUCUGUGCCAGCAGCCGCGGUAAUACAGAGGGUGCGAGCGUUAAUCGGAAUUACUGGGCGUAAAGCGCGCGUAGGUGGCUUUGUAAGUCGGAUGUGAAAUCCCCGGGCUCAACCUGGGAACUGCAUUCGAAACUGCAUUGCUAGAGUAUGGAAGAGGGAAGUGGAAUUUCCGGUGUAGCGGUGAAAUGCGUAGAUAUCGGAAGGAACACCAGUGGCGAAAGCGACUUCCUGGUCCAAUACUGACACUCAAGUGCGAAAGCGUGGGGAGCAAACAGG